UACGGAGGGUGCGAGCGUUGUUCGGAAUCACUGGGCGUAAAGCGCGUGUAGGCGGCCCCACUAAGUCUGAUGUGAAAGCCCCGGGGGCUCACCCCCCGGAAGUGCAUUGGAAACUGGUGGACUCGAGUCCCGGAGAGGAGAGUGGAAUUCCUGGUGUAGCGGUGAAAUGCGUAGAUAUCAGGAGGAACACCGGUGGCGAAGGCGGGGUCUCUGGACAGUUCCUGACGCUGAGGCACGAAGGCCAGGGGAGCAAACGGG
rnacentral:rRNA from 1 species